rnacentral:sRNA from 1 species
AGACAAGGCGAGGAGGGGGAAGGAAAGCAGGUGUCAAAACAUCCCAAACAGCCUGAAAGGCCUUGUGGGGAGCAAUGCGGCCCUUUUGGGGCACCUAUACCCAGGUCACCUUGGUCACCUUGGACCUCUUCCCCUCCGGUCACCUUUGCCUUCCAGGUGAAGCAGAUCAUGGAGGAGGCUGUGACACGCAAGUUUGUCCACGAAGACAGCAGCCACAUCAUCUCCUUCUGUGCGGCUGUGGAGGCCUGCGUUCUACACGGGCUUCGGCGGCGGGCGGCUGGCUUCCUACGCAGCAAUAAGAUUGCAGCCCUCUUUAUGAAAGUGGGCAAGAACUUCCCGCCGGCUGAGGAUCUGAGCCGCAAGGUGCAAGACCUGGAGCAGCUGAUCGAGAGCGCGAGAAACCAGAUCCAAGGCCUCCAGGAGAAUGUGCGGAAGCUGCCGAAGCUGCCCAACUUGUCCCCACUUGCCAUCAAGCAUCUGUGGAUUCGCACAGCCUUGUUUGAGAAGGUCCUGGACAAAAUUGUGCAUUACCUUGUGGAAAACAGCAGUAAAUACUAUGAGAAGGAAGCUCUCCUGAUGGACCCUGUGGACGGCCCCAUCCUUGCAUCUUUGUUGGUGGGGCCCUGUGCCCUAGAGUACACCAAGAUGAAGACUGCAGAUCACUUCUGGACCGAUCCCUCGGCUGACGAACUUGUCCAGAGGCACCGCAUCCACAGCUCCCACGUGCGGCAGGACUCGCCCACCAAGCGUCCUGCCCUCUGUAUCCAGAAGAGGCAUUCCAGUGGCAGCAUGGAUGACCGGCCAUCCCUCUCUGCCCGCGACUACGUGGAGUCCCUGCAUCAGAACUCCCGUGCCACCCUUCUCUAUGGCAAAAACAACGUUCUUGUUCAGCCGAGGGACGACAUGGAGGCUGUGCCAGGGUACCUGUCCCUGCACCAGACGGCUGACGUCAUGACCUUGAAGUGGACACCCAACCAGCUGAUGAACGGGUCUGUGGGGGACCUGGACUAUGAGAAGAGCGUCUACUGGGACUAUGCCAUGACCAUCCGCUUGGAGGAGAUUGUCUACCUGCACUGCCACCAGCAAGUUGACAGCGGCGGGACAGUGGUAUUGGUCAGCCAGGACGGGAUCCAGAGGCCGCCCUUCCGCUUCCCCAAGGGCGGGCACCUCCUGCAGUUCCUCUCGUGCCUGGAGAAUGGGCUGCUCCCACAUGGGCAGUUGGACCCGCCACUGUGGUCCCAGAGGGGUAAGGGCAAAGUGUUUCCUAAACUGCGCAAGCGAAGCCCUCAGGGUUCUGCCGAGUCCACAUCUUCAGACAAAGAUGAUGACGAGGCCACGGAUUAUGUGUUCAGGAUCAUCUACCCUGGCAUGCAGUCGGAAUUCGUGCCCCAGGAUCUGAUGGACGUCUCUGUAAGCAACCUCCCAUCCCUGUGGCAGCCCAGUCCCCGGAAGUCCUCCUGUUCAUCCUGUUCACAGAGUGGCUUGGCUGAUGGUAGCUCGACCAAUGGCUGCAACCAUGAGAGGGCUCCCCUGAAACUUCUCUGUGACAAUAUGAAGUACCAGAUCCUCUCCAGAGCCUUCUAUGGAUGGCUGGCCUACUGCAGACACCUGUCCACCGUGAGGACCCACCUAUCAGCCCUGGUCAAUCACAUGAUCGUGUCUCCAGACUUGCCCUGCGAUGCUGGACAGGGGCUGACAGCCAGGAUCUGGGAGCAGUACCUUCACGACAGCACAAGUUAUGAGGAGCAGGAGCUGCUGCGCCUCAUCUACUACGGAGGCAUCCAGCCUGAGAUCCGCAAGGCCGUGUGGCCCUUCCUCCUGGGCCACUACCAGUUCGGGAUGACGGAAACAGAAAGGAAAGAGGUAGACGAGCAGAUUCAUGCCUGCUACGCACAGACCAUGGCUGAGUGGCUGGGCUGCGAGGCGAUCGUGCGGCAGAGGGAGCGGGAGUCCCAUGCGGCCGCCCUGGCCAAAUGCUCAUCCGGGGCCAGCUUGGACAGCCACCUGCACCGGAUGUUGCACAGGGACUCAACCAUCAGCAAUGAGUCCUCCCAGAGCUGCAGUUCGGGCCGCCAGAACAUCCGCCUGCACAGCGACUCCAGCAGCAGCACACAGGUGUUUGAGUCUGUGGAUGAGGUGGAGCAGGUGGAGGCUGAAGGCAGAUUGGAGGAGAAACAGCCCAAGAUCCCCAAUGGGAACCUAGUGAACGGCACUUGUUCCCCAGACUCGGGUCAUCCUUCCUCCCAUAACUUCUCCUCGGGCCUCUCAGAGCACUCAGAGCCCAGUCUGAGCACAGAAGACAGUGUCUUGGACGCCCAGCGGAACACCCCCCCGGUGCUGCGACCUAGGGAUGGCAGCGUGGAUGACAGGCAGAGCAGCGAGGCCACCACAUCUCAGGAUGAGGCUCCCCGGGAGGAGCUGGCCGUGCAGGACAGCCUGGAGAGCGACCUCCUGGCCAACGAGAGCAUGGACGAGUUCAUGUCCAUCACGGGCAGCCUGGACAUGGCCCUGCCUGAAAAGGACGAUGUUGUGAUGGAGGGCUGGAGGAGCAGCGAGGCAGAGAAACAUGGCCAGGCGGACAGUGAGGACAACCUCUCGGAGGAGCCUGAGAUGGAAAGUCUCUUCCCUGCCCUGGCUUCUCUGGCUGUGACUACUUCUGCCAACGAGGUGUCCCCUGUGUCUUCCAGCGGUGUCACCUACUCUCCAGAGCUGCUGGAUCUGUACACGGUGAACCUGCACCGCAUCGAGAAGGAUGUGCAGAGGUGCGACCGCAACUACUGGUACUUCACGCCCGCCAACUUGGAGAAGCUGCGUAACAUCAUGUGCAGCUACAUCUGGCAGCACAUUGAGAUCGGCUAUGUCCAGGGCAUGUGUGAUCUUCUGGCUCCACUGCUGGUCAUUCUGGAUGAUGAGGCCCUUGCCUUCAGCUGCUUCACGGAGCUCAUGAAGAGGAUGAACCAGAACUUCCCCCACGGAGGCGCCAUGGACACGCACUUUGCAAACAUGAGAUCGUUGAUCCAGAUCCUGGACUCAGAGCUGUUUGAGCUGAUGCAUCAGAACGGGGACUAUACUCACUUCUACUUCUGCUACCGCUGGUUCCUGCUGGAUUUCAAGCGAGAACUCGUCUAUGAUGACGUCUUCUUGGUCUGGGAGACCAUCUGGGCAGCCAAACACGUCUCCUCUGCGCACUACGUCCUGUUCAUUGCGCUGGCUCUGGUGGAAGUCUACCGUGACAUCAUUUUGGAGAACAACAUGGACUUCACAGACAUCAUCAAAUUCUUUAAUGAAAUGGCUGAGCGACACAACACCAAGCAAAUCCUGAAGCUGGCGCGGGACCUCGUGUACAAGGUGCAGACUCUGAUUGAGAACAAGUGAGGGGCACCUCACCCCGGCAGCCUCAGUCAAGCUGCCCCCACCCCGCUCCUCUGCUUACUUUUCCUCCUGGCUGGAUGGGCACCCCGGGAGCGGGGUCCUGGUGUCUGUUCACAAGCGUGGAGUUCAGUGCGCAAAGAAACUACCCUGACUUUUACUUCUGGGCAGAUGGGGUGGAGGGAGUACCCCUUCAAUUCAGCCUUACAUUUUCCUGUUUGACCAAAGAUUGCCCAAGUCUGGCGUUCCUCCCUUGCAGGAGGUGGAGGUUGUUGGUGGAGGAGGAGCCAUCUUUGUUUGCUGGUGCCCGGAAUGGUCUCCUCUU